GGGGAUUUAGCUCAGUGGUAGAGCAUCUGCCUAGCAAGCACAAGGCCCUGGGUUCGGUCCCCAGCUCCG
rnacentral:tRNA from 1 species